UAUGGAUACGAUUCUGAUUAACUCAAACUACAUAGUACUGAAUUCGAUUUAUUUUUGACCACCCACGAUGGCGAUCAGUUACUGGAUGAUCAUUUAGAGGACCCACCUUUGGUCGAUGAAGUUUUGACAUUUUUACCAUCAUUGAGAACAUUGACGUGAGAGUCAACUUUGGGGAAAAGUCAUCUAACCAAGCUUUUGUAUUUCUCGAAGCCAACAUCGACUAACCUAAGCUGAUACAUCCACAAUCGUAAG
rnacentral:lncRNA from 1 species